AUUGAACGCUGGCGGCAUGCCUUACACAUGCAAGUCGAACGGCAGCACGGGAGCAAUCCUGGUGGCGAGUGGCGAACGGGUGAGUAAAGUAUCGGAACGUGCCCAGUCGUGGGGGAUAACGUAGCGAAAGUUACGCUAAUACCGCAUACGAUCUAUGGAUGAAAGCGGGGGAUCGCAAGACCACGCGCGAUUGGAGCGGCCGAUAGCAGAUUAGGUAGUUGGUGGGGUAAAGGCUCACCAAGCCGACGAUCUGUAGCUGGUCUGAGAGGACGACCAGCCACACUGGGACUGAGACACGGCCCAGACUCCUACGGGAGGCAGCAGUGGGGAAUUUUGGACAAUGGGCGAAAGCCUGAUCCAGCCAUGCCGCGUGCAGGAUGAAGGCCUUCGGGUUGUAAACUGCUUUUGUACGGAACGAAAAGGUUUGGCCUAAUAAGCUGAGCUCAUGACGGUACCGUAGGAAUAAGCACCGGCUAACUACGUGCCAGCAGCCGCCGCCG
rnacentral:rRNA from 1 species